AGCAGCCGCGGUAAUUCCAGCUCCAAUAGCGUAUAUUAAAGUUGUUGCAGUUAAAAAGCUCGUAGUUGAACUUCGGGGUUCACCCAUUGGUCAGGCUUAAUUGUCUGCACUGGUGAGAUGAAUCUCUACCUUCUGAGGAACUUUCAUGCCAUUUAUUUGGUGUGAUUGGAAAUCAGGACUGUUACUUUGAAAAAAUUAGAGUGUUUAAAGCAGGCUAACGUCUGAAUACAUUAGCAUGGAAUAAUGAAAUAGGACGGAUUGAUUCUAUUUCGUUGGUUUCUAGGAUCACCGUAAUGAUUAAUAGGGAUAGUUGGGGGCAUUAGUAUUCAAUUGUCAGAGGUGAAAUUCUUGGAUUUAUUGAAGACUAACUACUGCGAAAGCAUUUGCCAAGGAUGUUUUCAUUAAUCAAGAACGAAAGUUAGGGGAUCGAAGACGAUCAGAUACCGUCGUAGUCUUAACCAUAAACUAUGCCGACUAGGGAUCGGACGCAGUUAAUUUUAUAAUGACGUGUUC
rnacentral:rRNA from 1 species